GGGUGCGAUCAUACCAGCACUAAUGCACCGGAUCCCAUCAGAACUCCGAAGUUAAGCGUGCUUGGGCGAGAGUAGUACUAGGAUGGGUGACCCCCUGGGAAGUCCUCGUAGUAUGGUUA
rnacentral:rRNA from 1 species